rnacentral:rRNA from 1 species
AUUGAACGCUGGCGGAAGGCCUAACACAUGCAAGUCGAACGAAUGGCGGGCGGGUGAGUAAUGUCGGGGAAACUGCCUGAUGGAGGGGGAUAACUACUGGAAACGGUAGCUAAUACCGCAUACCAUCGGAUGUGCCCAGAUGGGAUGAGCUAGUAGGGGGGGUAAAGGCUCACCUAGGCGACGAUCCCUAGCUGGUCUGAGAGGAUGACCAGCCACACUGGAACGGAGACACGGUCCUGACUCCUACGGGAGGCAGCAGUGGGGAAUAUUGCACAAUGGGCGCAAGCCUGAUGCAGCCAUGCCGCGUGUAUGAAGAAGGCCUGCGGGUUGUAAAGUACUGUCAGCGGGGAGGCGUUACCCGCAGAAGAAGCACCGGCUAACUCCGUGCCAGCAGCCGCGGUAAUUC